rnacentral:tRNA from 1 species
GUGCCUGUAGCUCAAUCGGUAGAGCGUCGCUCUGUGGCAGCGAAGGCAGCGGGAUCGUAACCCGUCAGGCACCCCA